GAAAAUGCAAAAACAUGCAAAAGUCACAAUUGAGAACUUGACCUUGAUCUUUGACCUUGACCUAAUUUUCUAAUUUAGGACCCAUGGGACUCAAAUAAAAACAUUCCAGGGUUAUAUGAUUAACGGUUUAUGAGUUAAAAAAAACAUACCGACAAAUUUAUUCCGUAAAGGUAGAUAACUCCUAUAAAAUUUCAUCGAAUCGCUUCGAUCCAAAUUAGCCAAAAAUUCCUGAGGAUGUAACGAACAAUUUGUAAAAAGAAUUUUUGCGAUAUCUUUUUUUGUUACGAAGGAGAUGCACUCUGGUGAUAAACAGUGAAUAGGGAGAUAACUCUUACAAAGAAAAUGGUUCGCCUUAGCAGGGUGUAAUUUAAAAGCGCAUAAACUAUACGAUACCAUAUGAGAAAUAUCUAAGCGACAUAUUGCGAAACAAACAUUUAACGCAAGAACAAAAUUUGGCGGAAAAAAAAAAUAAUAAUAAUUAAAAGCCAAUUGUUCAGAGAACAAUUGAAGGUCUUUCCAUCGGUAAAGAUCAAUUUUGAUAUAAAAAUAUUAAAAAUCAGUCUAAAAUGUCACUUCCUAUGGCUUUAUGAUGUAUAAAUAUGAAUUUAAAGCAAAGGUCAAAAUCUAGAACGUCCUAUUAACCAAUGACCUUGAGCUCAUUUUCAAGGUCACAAACCAAGGACCUCAAAUCAAAAGAUGCAAGGUCUUAUAAUAUGUAUGGAUAAUGAGUUAUAUCACUUUAUGCAUAAUUCUAAAUAUAAGAUGGGCGAAAACUCCCAAUUAUUGAUUACGCACCCUUUCAACCAAAAUUUAUAAGUUACGACAUGUCGUAACUAACAAUUUAGUAAAGAUAACAUGUGUAUAUGUUAUACGGUUUUUGAAGAAAAGUGAAAAUAAGCCAAAAUCAAAAUUUAUAAUAUGACCUUGACCUUUGACCUUGACCUAAUUUUCAUUUUUUUUGGACCAAGGACCUUAAAUCAAAAGACCCUAGGUCUCUAUUACCUAUGGUUUACCAGUUAGAAAUGCAUAUUACUAAUAUCAAAUGCAAAAGGGGGAAUAACUCUCAUAAGGAGUGUUCAUAUCGCUUCGGUUAAAAUAGGACAAAUCAUGCGAAGGAUAUAACGAGCAAUUUUAUAAAAUAAAUUUGUCGCAUUUUUCUACGGUUAGGGAGGAGAUGCACUCUGAUGAUAAACAGUGAAAGGGGAGAUAACUCUUACAAAGAAAAUGGUUCGCCUUAGCAGGGUGAAAUUUAAAAGCGCAUAAACUAUACGAUACCAUAUGAGAAAUAUCUAAGCGACAUAUUGCGAAACAAACAUUUAUCGCAAGAACAAAAUUUGGCGGAAGAAAAAAAAAAAAAAAAAAAAAUAUAAUUAAAAACCAAUUGUUCAGAGAACAAUUGAAAGUCUUUCCACACCACAGAAAUUUGGAUAAGAAGGUAGUUUCUUCAUACUGAUGCGAUAAAUAAUGGUUUAAUUAUCUUUUUGAGUGAUAUAAGGGAGAUAAUAUGCUACUUCCGGUGAAAUGAAUGUCACAUCUGGUCUCAUAUGAUAGCUUCUUUCACACUGAUUGCAAAAAUAUAUAGUUUCUAUAUACUUUUGUAUGUAGAAUGGGAGAUAAUUGGCCACUUCCGGUUUGUUGGAAGUCAUUUUUAGUCUUCAGUAAUUUGUUCAUGUAUCUAUAUGAAAAAAUAUAUGGAUUCUGA
rnacentral:lncRNA from 1 species